CUAGAGAUAGAAAGUUACUUCGGUACAUCGGUGACAGGUGGUGCAUGGUUGUCGUCAGCUCGUGUCGUGAGAUGUUGGGUUAAGUCCCGCAACGAGCGCAACCCCUAUUGUUAGUUGCCAUCAUUCAGUUGGGCACUCUAGCGAGACUGCCGGUAAUAAACCGGAGGAAGUGGGAUGACGUCAAAUCAUCAUGCCCCUUAUGACCUGGGCUACACACGUGCUACAAUGGUUGGUACAACGAGUUGCGAGUCGGUGACGGCGAGCUAAUCUCUUAAAGCCAAUCUCAGUUCGGAUUGUAGGCUGCAACUCGCCUACAUGAAGUCGGAAUCGCUAGUAAUCGCGGAUCAGCACGCCCGCGGUCCGAAUACGUUCCGGGCCUU
rnacentral:rRNA from 1 species